UACAGAGGGUGCGAGCGUUAAUCGGAGUUACUGGGCGUAAAGGGCGCGUAGGCGGUUUAAUGAGUGUGAUGUGAAAGCCCCGGGCUUAACCUGGGAAGUGCAUCGCAAACGAUUGAACUAGAGUAUAUGAGAGGGUGGCGGAAUUUCCGGUGUAGCGGUGAAAUGCGUAGAGAUCGGAAGGAACGUCGAUGGCGAAGGCAGCCACCUGGCAUAAUACUGACGCUGAGGCGCGAGAGCGUGGGGAGCGAACGGG
rnacentral:rRNA from 1 species